rnacentral:rRNA from 1 species
UACGUAGGUGGCUAGCGUUGUCCGGAUUUACUGGGCGUAAAGAGCGCGCAGGCGGUCGUUCAAGUCGAGUGUGAAAGCCCCCGGCUCAACUGGGGAGGGUCACUCGAUACUGAUCGACUCGAAGGCAGGAGAGGGAAGCGGAAUUCCCGGUGUAGUGGUGAAAUGCGUAGAUAUCGGGAGGAACACCAGUGGCGAAGGCGGCUUUCUGGCCUGUUCUUGACGCUGAGGCGCGAAAGCUAGGGUAGCAAAACGGG